GGUCCCCGUCCCGCUGUCAGGGUGCUCAUUUUUGGGACCCCCCCCCCAGGUCCCCGAUGCAGGGAACGACCCCUCCUUGCUCCAUCCCCAAGCUCUACAUUCGGGGGGUGUCACCCCUGCUGCCCCACCAGUGGCUCCCAGUCCUCCCAGCUGUCCCAGUGCUGGGUUCCUCGCAGCGUCCCCAGCUCCUGGCGCUGUGACAUCUCCGGGCUUUGUCGCGUUCCCAGGCCCGCUGCUUUGUCAUUGCUCCUGCAGCAUUCAUCGAGUCCUUGUGCCCAGUUAUCCCAGUGCUUGCAGCACCUGGGGUCCCAGUGCCCCAGUAUUCCCAGUGCUCACUUAUCCCAGUGCCUGCAGCACCCUGGGUCCCGGUGUCCCAUUAUUCCCAGUGCCUGCAGCAUCCCUGGUCCCAGUGCUCUGUUACCCCGGGGCGUGCAGCACCCUGGGGUCCCGGUGCUCCGUUAUCCUCAGUGCCUGUUUGUUCUGGGGGUGCAGCACCUUGGGGUCCCGGUGCUCCUUUAUUCCUGGUGCCCUCUGUCCCCGGGCAUGCAGCACCCUUGGGUCCCGGUGUUCCGUUAUCCCUGGUGCUCUGUUAUCACGGUGCCUGUAGCACCCUGGGGUCCCGGUGUGCCCUUAUCCCCAGUGCCCGCUGUCCUUGGGCGUGCAGCACCCUUGGGUCCCGGCACUCCAUCAUCCUCAGUGCCUGCUGUCCCGGGGCAUGCAGCACCCUGGGGUCCCCGUGCUCCGUUAUCUCCAGUGCUCUGUUAUCACGGAGCCUGCAGCACCCUGGGGUCCUGGUGCUCCGGUAUCCCCAAUGCCCGCUUAUUCUGGGGGCAUGCAGUACCCUUGGGUCCCAGUGUCCUCUGUCCCGGGGGGUGCAGCACCCUUGGGUCCCAGUGCUCUGUUAUCACGGUGCCUGCAGCACCCUGGGGUCCCGGCGCUCCGUUAUCCCCGGUGCCCUCCGUCCCAGUGCGCGCAGCACCCUUGGGUCCCGGUGCGCCCUUCUCCCCGGUGCCCGCUCUCCUUGGGCACGCAGCACCCUUGGGUCCCGGCGCUGCGUUAUCCCCGGUGCCCCCCGCCCCGCUGCGCGCACCCCGCCGCCCCCUGCACCCCCCGCGGCUGCCGCACCGAGGCGCUCCGUGGCACCGCCCGGGCGCCUCCUCCAGCGGCCGGGGAGGGUCGGGGCGGGGGCCGGGACCGGGACCGGGACCGGGAACGGAUCCUGCCCGGUGCGGGGGCCCGGCUUGGCCUCUCUCUCGGUGCCCUGCCCCCCCCCCCCCCCCCAGCCAUGCUGCGCUGCCUGCUCCAGCGAGCCAGCCACCUCCCCAACCUCGAGAAGGGGGACAGGCAGAGCGACCCGGUGGCCAGCCUGACUUUCCGAGGUGAGGGCACCCCAAAUCUGCCUUUUGGGGCUGGGGGACGGGGGUGGGGGGCAGGAUUUUUUGCUUUGCCUGGGGCGAGUUAU
rnacentral:lncRNA from 1 species